rnacentral:rRNA from 1 species
GAUGAACGCUGACAGAAUGCUUAACACAUGCAAGUCUACUUGAUUCUACUUCGGUAGCUGAUGGUGGCGGACGGGUGAGUAACGCGUAAAGAAUCUGCCCUUUAGUUUGGGAUAACCUUUGGAAACGAAGGCUAAUACCGGAUAUUAUGGAGACGUCGCAUGACGACUCCAUGAAAGCUAUAUGCGCUAGAGGAGGACUUUGCGUCCCAUUAGUUAGUUGGUGAGGUAAUGGCUCACCAAGACCGCGAUGGGUAGCCGGCCUGAGAGGGUGAUCGGCCACAAGGGAACUGAGACACGGUCCUUACUCCUACGGGAGGCAGCAGUGGGGAAUAUUGGACAAGGGGCCACAAGCCUGAUCCAGCAAUUCUGUGUGCACGAUGAAGGUCUUCGGAUUGUAAAGUGCUUUCAGUAGGGAAGAAAAAAAUGACGGUACCUACAGAAGAAGCGACGGCUAAAUAUGUGCCAGCAGCCGCCGUAA